rnacentral:tRNA from 1 species
UCCCUGGCAGUCCAGUGGUUGAGAUUCUGCACUUCCAAUGCAGGGGACACGGGUUCAAUCCCUGGUCCGGGAA